rnacentral:tRNA from 1 species
GCCGGAGUGGCGGAAUGGCAGACGCAGCAGACUCAAAAUCUGCCGCCCUCAAAGCGUGCGGGUUCAAGUCCCGCCUCCGGCACCA